UGGGAUUUAGUGUAUUUCAUUUGUGUA
rnacentral:piRNA from 1 species